ACUCUUCGACCAAGAGUCCUAAUGCUCGGAGACUUUGAGUCCUACAUGUCUGGGACUCUGUGAUCGAGAAUCAAAAUUCUCUGAUCAUGAGUUCCACACAUUUUGGGUACCGGGGUCAAGAGUCCCACUGGUUUGAGACUUUUCAAUCAGGGUUUCAUAUCAAUGAACUCUGAUGCCCGAUUGCCCAUUGAAUUUGGACUCAGUAUUUAUGAGAAGUUUAAUUAGUGAUUUGAUCGCUAAUUAACUCAAUUUGAUUGAGUAAUUAUUUUUGGAUCAAGUCCAAUUGAAUUGGAUUCAGUUGGGUUUGACCCGAUUAGGUUAAGAGUUGACCUAAUCCC
rnacentral:lncRNA from 1 species